rnacentral:lncRNA from 1 species
GCAAAUGGUGAAGAAAGUAGGAUGAGGUGGUAUGGCCAUUCCUUCUGCCUUCCGUCUCUGCCAUGCUUGGAGAACUUCCAGCAGUGUAUGUUAGGCCAGAGUAUCCAGAGGUUCACCACCUCCGUGGUGCAUCGCAGCCACUAUGAGGAGGGUCCGGGGAAGAAUUUGCUGUUUUCAGUGGAAAACAAGUAGCGGUUACUGGCUAUGAUGACCGUGUACUUUGGAUCUGGAAUUGCUGCUCCUUUCUUUAUAGUAAGGCACCAGCUACUUAAAAAAUAAAGAUAUUUAAUUCAUCCCAUUAACAGAAUGAAGAAAGUUUAAGAGAUAUGAUCUGAAAAUUGGAUUAAACUCUUGAACUCUUACACUAGAAAAAAUUAUAAAUAAACUAAUGAUAUAAAU